UACGUAGGGCGCAAGCGUUGUCCGGAAUUAUUGGGCGUAAAGAGCUCGUAGGCGGCCUGUCGCGUCUGCUGUGAAAUCCCGGGGCUUAACCCCGGGCGUGCAGUGGAUACGGGCUGGCUGGAGGCAGGCAGGGGAGAACGGAAUUCCCGGUGUAGCGGUGAAAUGCGCAGAUAUCGGGAGGAACACCGGUGGCGAAGGCGGUUCUCUGGGCCUGUACUGACGCUGAGGAGCGAAAGCGUGGGGAGCGAACAGG
rnacentral:rRNA from 1 species